UGAGUGCGAGCUGCUACGGCAGCGAAGUUGGUGACGUCAAGCUUCCAAGAAAAGCCCUAUACCCGUUAAGGCAUGAUUGCCUGUACCCGAAACCGACACAGGUGGGGUGGUAGAGAAUACCGAGGGGCGCGAGGUAACUCUCUCUAAGGAACUCGGCAAAAUGACCCCGUAACUUCGGGAGAAGGGGUGCCACCGCAAGGUGGUCGCAGUGAAUAGGCCCAGGCGACUGUUUACCAAAAACACAGGUCUCCGCUAAGUCGCAAGACGAUGUAUGGGGGCUGACGCCUGCCCAGUGCCGGAAGGUUAAGGAAGUUGGUCAGCGAAAGCGAAGCUAGCGACUGAAGCCCCGGUGAACGGCGGCCGUAACAAUAACGGUCCUAAGGUAGCGAAAUUCCUUGUCGGGUAAGUUCCGACCCGCACGAAAGGCGUAACGAUCUGGGCGCUGUCUCGGAGAGAGGCUCGGCGAAAUAGAAUUGUCUGUGAAGAUGCGGACUACGUGCACCUGGACAGAAAGACCCUAUGAAGCUUUACUGUAGCUUGGUAUUGUGUCCGGGCUCUGAAUGCGCAGGAUAGGUGGGAGGCUUUGAUCCAUUGCUUGCGGGUGAUGGUGAGCCAACGGUGAGAUACCACUCUUUCAGAGCUAGGAUUCUAACGGUCACCCGUCAUCCGGGGACCGGACAGUAUCUGGUGGGCAGUUUGACUGGGGCGGUCGCCUCCUAAAAGGUAACGGAGGCGCGCAAAGGUCUGCUCAGGCUGGUUGGAAAUCAGCCGACGAGUGCAAAAGCAGAAGCAGGCUUGACUGUGAGACCUACAAGUCGAACAGGGGGGAAACCCGGCUUUAGUGAUCCGACGGUUCUGAGUGGAAGAGCCGUCGCUCAACGGAUAAAAGUUACUCUAGGAUAACAGGCUGAUCUCCCCCAAGAGUUCACAUCGACGGGGAGGUUUGGCACCUCGAUGUCGGCUCAUCGCAACCUGGGGCUGAAGUCGGUCCCAAGGGUUGGGCUGUUCGCCCAUUAAAGCGGUACGCGAGCUGGGUUCAGAACGUCGUGAGACAGUUCGGUCCAUAUCCGGUGCAUGCGCAGGAAUAUUGAGAGGAUUUCUCCCUAGUACGAGAGGACCGGGAGGAACGCACCUCUGGUGUACCAGUUAUCGUGCCAACGGUAAACGCUGGGUAGCCAUGUGCGGAGUGGAUAACCGCUGAAAGCAUCUAAGUGGGAAGCCCACCUCAAGAUGAGUAUUCCCAUGGCGUUAGCCAGUAAGGUCACGGGCAGAACACCCGUUGAUAGGCUCUACGUGGAAGCGCAGUAAUGUGUGAAGCGGAGGAGUACUAAUAGACCGAGGGCUUGACU
rnacentral:rRNA from 1 species